rnacentral:rRNA from 1 species
ACAAAAGCCAGAAAAGAAAUGG